ensembl:lncRNA
GCCUAAACGCUCUAACUUUUGCUGACUAUUCUAUGUGUGAUUUAAUAAAGAACAUACAGGUGUUAGUAAGUGAGACAGUGGGAGUUUAGAGGUGCUCUUAGUAUGCUAGACAAUCCCGAUGCUAGGCUAAGCUAACUAGCUGCUUCCCCCGAGCUUCAUGUUUAGCGUGAGAGACUUCGACAGAUCUUCCAUACAACUCUCGGCGAGAAAAUAAUUACACUCCCCAGUAGGCUGCACAAUAUAUCCCUGAGUCAGGUCUAAAUUUGUAUUUUAAACCCGUAUAUCUUUACAGCUAAAAUGUUCCUUCUCUCGUCUAACUCCUGUCUCACUUGGGAACCAGCAAGGCUUUUCAUUUCCUUCACUUCUGCUGCUCUGAGCCCACAUUUCUCCCCGCGCCCACAGUGCUAAGCCCAGAGCUCAACGCAGAUACGCACCACAUGGCUGCAUGAAUGCUUCCUGCACGCAAACUGCAGUAACACUGGAAAGAAGAGAGGGCGAGAGGAAGAGCGCCGGGCGAGGCACCAGCCCAGAGUUGGAGACGCGGGUUGUUGCUUUUCCGGCAUUGGAGGGUCGCCAAGUUCGUGGCGGCAAAGUGAGCGCUGACCUUCGGGUGACCUCGCGCCGUCGCGGCCUCACACAAGGCUCGCGUCCAUAUUUCAUCGCACAAAUAUAACCGGCCGACGGCGGAGCUCACAUCCGAGUGGCUGAAGCGGCCGCGGAGGGCCGGGCCUGGAGGCCUCUCCUCUUCCGCAGGGCCCAAUGGCCUGUAAGCAGACACGAAAAGGCUUUUGAGGGAAGAUCCAUUGGUCCAGCUCUUCCUCGCUACCUUUCAAAUGUAAUGAUUCAUAUUUCAGCUGGGAUGCAUCUCCAUCACGGAAGCGCCACAACUGUAAGCGGUAGCUUCACCUCGUCGCCUUUAACCCCCACCUGCAGACCUCACCUGCCCAACAUCCGCUGCCCAAAUGGCACCCAGGUUCUGCUUCGCAUAAUCAGAUAACUACGUGAGCAAUUGAUGAAAUGCGGUUGAUGCUUAAGAAGCAGCUAAACAGAUCAGAUAGUCUUUUGUAAUUUUUGAAUUACAGGCAUGACCCACCAUGAGUUUCUUACAAAGGGCUUUUCGAUGCUCUGAGGUAUCAUCCAGAUAUGAAGGGGCUCAUUCUCAGUGUCAGGUGAUUAUACACAGAUGAAAACCGUCUAAAUGCUGUAUUCUAUUUCUGCAAAUGAAUCCCUGAUGCUCCCUCUCUGCGUCGCACACGCGUGGAGCCGUCAGCUGCUGCUGGAAGACAAACGCCUGCAUGUGUUUUCAUGUGAUUCUGUGCAAAUCCAGCUGCCUUGGAAGUGACCAAAUGUCUAACGACCCCGAAUGGAGGAUGAACAACAGGAAGCAUCAGCAGCGCUGUGCCGUCACUGUCAUGGUGUCUCUGGCGUGGGGAGAAACCAACAGAAAGAAAAUAAUAAAGAGAGAAGGAGGAG